AGAUUGAACGCUGGCGGCGUGCUUAACACAUGCAAGUCGAGCGGUAACGCGGGAGCAAUCCUGGCGACGAGCGGCGAACGGGUGAGUAAUGCUUGGGAAUCUGCCCAUUAGUGGGGAACAACCAGCCGAAAGGUUGGCUAAUACCGCAUACGCCCUACGGGGGAAAGCGGGGGAUCGAAAGACCUCGCGCUAAUGGAUGAGCCCAAGUCGGAUUAGCUUGUUGGUAGGGUAACGGCCUACCAAGGCGACAAUCCGUAGCUGGUCUGAGAGGACGACCAGCCACACUGGGACUGAGACACGGCCCAGACUCCUACGGGAGGCAGCAGUGGGGAAUAUUGGACAAUGGGGGCAACCCUGAUCCAGCGACGCCGCGUGUGUGAAGAAGGCCUGCGGGUUGUAAAGCACUUUUAGUGGGAUGAAAAGCUCAGGGUUAACACCUCUGGGUCUUGACCUAACCACAGAAAAGCACCGGCUAACUCUGCGCCAGCAGCCGC
rnacentral:rRNA from 1 species